rnacentral:tRNA from 1 species
UCAUUAGUGGUUCAGCAAUAGAAUUCUCACCUUCCAUGUGGGAGACCUGGGUUCGAUUCCCAGCCAAUGCA